rnacentral:rRNA from 1 species
UACGGGGGGGGCAAGCGUUGUUCGGAAUUACUGGGCGUAAAGGGCUCGUAGGCGGCUGGCUAAGUCGGAUGUGAAAUCCCCAGGCUUAACUUGGGAACUGCAUCCGAUACUGGCUGGCUUGAAUCCGGGAGAGGGAUGCAGAAUUCCAGGUGUAGCGGUGAAAUGCGUAGAUAUCUGGAGGAAUACCGGUGGCGAAGGCGGUAUCCUGGACCGGCAUUGACGCUGAUGAGCGAAAGCCAGGGGAGCAAACGGG